rnacentral:pre_miRNA from 1 species
AAGACAAGUCUAGUGAAGUUUGAAUUAGGGCUUAGCCAAUCUAAGGUAAAGCCCAAUUUUCAUUUCACUAGGCUCAUCUUA